UACAUGGGGUGCAAACGUUGCUCGGAAUUAUUGGGCGUAAAGCGCGCGUAGGCGGUUACUUAAGUCGGAUGUGAAAGCCCUCGGCUUAACUGAGGAAGUGCACCCGAAACUGAGUAGCUAGAGUACGAAAGAGGGUCGCGGAAUUCCCGGUGUAGAGGUGAAAUUCGUAGAUAUCGGGAGGAACACCGGUGGCGAAGGCGGCGACCUGGGUCGAGACUGACGCUGAGGCGCGAAAGCGUGGGAUCAAACAGG
rnacentral:rRNA from 1 species